ACCUGUAACGGGUCUUCGUCGGGAGGAGCACCAUAAUCUCUUAACCCCACAUUCCGUCUAUACUCUAGCGAGAGCCCAGUUCGAGUCCGGUGGUGUCCGUUUUCCCACUCUUUUCGGUAACGAAAGAUGCUGGGCGGACCUAAGCAAUGAAAACUACUUGUCGAGGGAAGUAAUUCUGCAGACGCGUUUUCACCAUUGGACGGCGGCGCUGGAAUACUCUUGCAUAGAGUGGAAUGGGGGCUGGAGGAGGGUGUUUCGACCGACACCAAGAAAAAGAGUAAUCUUUUUGUGCAGGUUUGGGGUCCUUUUUUU
rnacentral:SRP_RNA from 1 species